rnacentral:rRNA from 1 species
AGUGAACGCUGGCGGCAGGCCUAAUACAUGCAAGUCGAACGGCAGCACAGCAGAGCUUGCUCUGUGGGUGGCGAGUGGCGGACGGGUGAGGAAUACAUGGGAAUCUGCCCAGUCGUGGGGGAUAACGUAUGGAAACGUACGCUAAUACCGCAUGCGCCCUACGGGGGAAAGUCGGGGACCGCAAGGCCUGGCGCGAUUGGAUGAGCCCAUGUUCGAUUAGCUAGUUGGCGGGGUAAAGGCCCACCAAGGCGACGAUCGAUAGCUGGUCUGAGAGGAUGAUCAGCCACACUGGAACUGAGACACGGUCCAGACUCCUACGGGAGGCAGCAGUAGGGAAUAUUGGACAAUGGGGGCAACCCUGAUCCAGCCAUGCCGCGUGAGUGAAGAAGGCCUCGGGUUGUAAAGCUCUUUUGUCCGGAAGAAAAGCAAUCGGUUAAUACCCGGUUGUUCUGACGGUACCGGAAGAAUAAGCACCGGCUAACUUCGUGCC